rnacentral:lncRNA from 1 species
GAGACUUCACCAACUCCUUUUUGCAUUCUUUCGUUGUCAAUAUCUUUUUGAAUUAAAUUAAUCAUAUCCUUCUUGAGUCACGACAUGGACUAGUACUCGCUUUUGAAUUUGUACAUCAUAAAGUCAAAUUCUAACAUUUACAUUAUUAUUAGAACAAUUUCAAAGCAUGGAAAUAAAUAGCACAAACACAAAGUGAGAAACCAGCAAAAGGCCGGUAUAUAACUCCACACGAGUGCCAACACAAAUUCUUCAAACGAGAUUAUUCAAAGAAGCAAUUAAAGUCAAAUCAGAUUACAACUUUUAAAGGGCCCACUUUGAAAGCGCUUCACCGUCCUCCUCAUAAGAAUUUUUUUGUAUAUAAACCAAACUAUAGUGGCUCUUCAUUUAGCUCAAAAUAAAUACAACUUUUGGAAAUAAAAAUAUAUCUCAAACAAGCUAAGGAAUAUUGUGAAAGGAAUUGGAAGGAAAAAAAGUUGGUGAUGAUGAUUAUGAAGAAAAGUAUAUUGAUUGUGUUUUUUAUCAUUAUGGUUGUGAUGUCAUCAUCACAGUUAUGUUUUGUUCAAAGCAGAGUUCUUCAAUCCAAGGAGUUUAGAAAAGAUGGAGUGACAUCUUUUGUUUCUUCUAACAAUUCAAGCAAUCGUGGUUCAAAGGAAAGCUUUUCAUUCAUACUAGCUUCUGGACCAAGCAAAAAAGGCCCUGGACAUUGAGUUAUAUUCAUUCUUUGCCAUUUUUUUCUUUUGAUUAUUAUUUUUUACAUAUGUUUUAUCUCUAGACUCUAGGUUAUAGAUAUUGAAUUCUUCCAUGGCCAUUUUUCUUCUCCGUGGAAUUCUCAGUGUAUGUAAUUUGUAGAUUGUUUAAUUAUCAUAAAUAUAAAUGCACUUGUGGAUAUAAUUAUGUUUUAAUGUCUUCAUCUUUUGAGUAUUUAGAUGAUUAUUAGAAAUAUUUUAUUUUAGAUUAUUAAGGAUACCAUUGAGUUGAUCAAUGUAGAUCAUUCAAAUCCAUUAAGUUAUAUGCCAAGCGUGAUCCAAGCUGCAGGAGUGGUGGUUCGAGUCUAAGAUCAAAGAGAAAACUUCGGUAUAUAUAGUAUUAGAUUGAAAGGUUGGGUGUUAUCAUUGUAACAGUCAAUAAAAAAAUAAAAUUAAUUUCGUGAAUAUGAGAAUGUUAACAAAAAUAAAUAGUGGAAAACAUAAUAAAGUUAAAAUUACAACUAUUUAAGAGAAAAUUUGUGCAGCUUUCAUUACAUAAAAAAUGUCAAUUUUUGUUUGAUUGUGUAAUUCGAGCGUGUAAUCGUGUAUGAGUUUUAAAGUGCGAUUGUUUUGGAUGGAGAUGUGACGUCUCUUUUUAUGGUUCUGAAGUAUCGUCUCGUUGUUGCUUUCAGCACUGCUUCGGCCCCACCAACAAAUGGUAUCGAAGUCAUGGUUUGGCUUGGUGAGGGAGCAAGAGUGGGAUUGAUGAGUUUCAAGUGUGAGGGAUUAAAUCUCACCUAAUCCAUGAAUGGAUAAAAUGUUGGAUUAUAUAAAAGAGGUCACUCAAAUACAUAAUAUUUUAGGUUUUGGAUGAAAAUGUGACGCUUUCUUCUUGUGAUCCUGGGACAUUGAUAUGUUGUUGCUUUUGGCACUCCUCAUACUCACCAACAAUAGUACAUGUUAAAUCAUCAUGGUUUUAAUCUGGGAUAAGAUAGGAAAUUAAAGAUAA